rnacentral:rRNA from 1 species
GACAGAGGGUGCAAACGUUGCUCGGAAUUACUGGGCGUAAAGGGCGCGUAGGCGGACAGUUUAGUCAGAGGUGAAAGCCCAGGGCUCAACCUUGGAAUUGCCUUUGAUACUGGCUGUCUUGAGUUCGGGAGAGGUGAGUGGAAUGCCGAGUGUAGAGGUGAAAUUCGUAGAUAUUCGGCGGAACACCAGUGGCGAAGGCGACUCACUGGACCGGAACUGACGCUGAGGCGCGAAAGCGUGGGGAGCAAACAGG